GAUGAGGGUCAAAAGAAAAGAUGCAAUUCAAUGGAUGUCUUACGGAUUACUCCCAGAGAGAUUGAGAGAGGUAAUCAGGAGGUACGACAAAUACCUCCCGAUUCGUUAUCUUCCCAAGGACCUCAGUAAAGAUGUUAUGCGUCACUUUUGCUUGGCACUUCUUAAGAGAGUGAGUGCUUCUUCAUUCAGCUUUUAUGUUCUAGUUAUAUUUAUUACUGCUGUUCUUUCAAGAGAAAAAUGAAAAAUGAGUUGAAAGAAGUCAGUUCAAAGCUUUAUUUAUUUACUUGCAAUUAAAAGUUUUAAGCUAUUGAUUUCUGCUUCGUUUAGACUGUGUUAUAAUUGAAUAGUAUCUGGAUUACAAUAAUUUUUUGAGUACUAAAUUAUAUACUGAGGUCAAGGCCCAGUUGGUAAGGGCUAAGUCUUACCAGAUACAGUUCGAGUCUCAUUUGGGCAAGGGUGAAAUCCAAGAAAGAAAAUAAAUAAAUAAAUCUAUAUAGCUAAUAUUUUAACUAUGUUUUAGGCGCCCAUGUUUGAGAAAAUGGAUAUACUACUUUUGGAUGCAAUGUGUGGCCGUCUAAAAACCGUGCUUUACACUAACAAUGGUUUCAUAUGGCGGGAUGGUGAUCCGAUUGAUGAGAUGCUGUUUAUAAUUCGUGGAGAACUGCUGUCAGGUUCAGUGACAACAAAUGGAGGAAAAACUGAUGACUUUUCAAAUUAUUUUUAUUUAAAAGGUUUUGACUUCUGUGGAGAAGAGCUCCUCGAAUGGGCGUUCGACCCCAAUUCGUCGUCCAACCUCCCAAUCUCGACCAGAACUGUUCAAGCCCUCUCAAAAGCAGAAGUGUUUGCACUGGCGGCCGCUGAUUUGAAGUUUGUAGUCUCUCAAUUCAGAUACCUAUACAGUUUUAAUCAGAUGUGUCACAUUUUUAGGAAUUACUCGCUGCAGUGGAGGAAUUGGGCAGCAAGUACUAUACAAGUAGAAUGGAGGCAUUAUCACAGCAAGAAGCUAGUCCGAGAAGAGGAGAGCAGUUUGCGAGGUGCAUUGGUGAAGCCGAUAAUGAUGAGGAGGAUAUCAAUCAUUCCUCUUCAAAGUUCCGUUUCGUCAGAUUUCAGUUUGGAUUCUCAGGUCCUUGAUGUCCCUUUUGAUUUUUCGAGUAGUGCAGGUACGUCUUUGUAUCAGCUACCUGCAUUUAAGAAGCUGGGGUCUUCGGUACUAGAGAUGAGGGUCAAAAGACAAGAUGCAAUUCAAUGGAUGUCUUAUGGAUUGCUCCCAAAGAGUUUGAGAGAGGAAAUCAGGAAGUACAAUAAAUACCUCCUGAGUCGUUAUCUUCCCAAGGACCUCAGUAAAGUUAUUAUGCGUCAUGUUUGCUUGGCUCUUCUUAAGAAAGUGAGUGCUUCUUCAUUCAGCAUUUAUGUUCUAAUUAUAUGUAUUACUGUUCUUUCAAGAGAAAAAUGAAAAAUGGCUUGAAAGAAUUAUGUUCAAAAAGCUUUAUUUAUUUACUUACAAGUAAAAGUUUUAAGCUAUUGAUUUCUGCUUCCUUUAGAUUCUGUUAUAAUUGAAUAGUAUCUGGAUUACAAUAAUUUUUUGAGUACUAAAUUAUAUACUGAGGGGUAAGGGCUAAGUCUUACCAGAUAUAGUUCGAGUCUCAUUUAGGCAAAGGUGAAAUCCAAAAAGAAAAUAGAUAAAUAAAUCUAUAUAGCUAAUAAUUUAACUAUGUUUUAGGUGCCCAUGUUUGAGAAAAUGGAUAAAAUAAUUUUGGAUGCAAUGUGUGACCGUCUAAAAACCGUGCUUUACACUGACAAUGGCUUCAUAUGGCGGGAUGGUGAUCCGAUUGAUGAGAUGCUGUUUAUAAUUCGUGGAGAAUCGCUGUCAGGUUCAGUGACAACAAAUGGAGGAAAAACUGAUGACUUUUCAAAUUAUGUUUAUUUAGAAGCUGGUGGCUUCUGUGGAGAAGAGCUCUUCGGAUGGGCGCUCAACCCCAAUUCGUCGUUGUCCAAGCUCCCAAUCUCGACCAGAACUGUUUUAGCCAAUGCAAAAGCCGAAGUGUUUGCACUGGCGGCCGAUGAUUUGAAGUUUGUAGUCUCUCAAUUCAGACACCUAUACAAUAGUGAGCAGAUGCGUAACAUUUUUAGGCAUCACUCGGCUCAGUGGAGGACUUGGGCAGCAUGUUAUAUACAAGUAGAAUGGAGGCGUUAUUAUAGGAAGAAGCUAGUUCUUAAGAUGCAUUAGCAAAGGCGAGAAUGCAAAAGAGGACAUCAAUCAUUCAUCUCCAGAGUCAUAUGAACCAGAUUUCAUUGCUGAAGAAAAGUAAGCACGUUUUAAUUUUUCAGGUUAUUGUUUUUUUCAGUUAUUCGCCUUGUAAACUUGUGUCCGGGUUUUGUAUUCUACUAUGUAUUGUAACUUUAUCAUGCAUGUUAAUUGUAUGACUUGGUUCUGUACGAAUUCGAACUUGUUAGUGUUGCAUUUGCAAUUCCUUAUCUUACAUCCUACAUCAAGGACACUAUACAAUUGCCAAUACACGAUUCUAAUUUGAGAUUUGCAGCUCCUUUUAUAACUUCAACACCUCAGUACAUCAAGUUUUGUUAGUCAAUGUUCAAAUAGCAAUGUACUAUAAUUGUCGAUAGUACGAGGGACAUUGCCUUAACAAAUAUAGCAUAUCGUCAAAACAUCUCCUUUGCAAUGUUGGGGGGGUGUCGAAUAGCAAAUAUCUGCAUCACGAUUUUGCCUUUGUUUGGAUACUAUGUAUAAAUUGAUUUAUAAAUUCAGUCGGUUAAUCAUUGAUUUCAAGUAUAUAUCUAUAACUAUCACUCAUUAUUAUUCACACGUUUUGUGGAAUUUACUUCCCCUUUCCUUUGUGCUCUAGUUGUUCUCUUUUCACUUCCUUUUUGCCUUGUUCUUCUUCAAUUGAGGGGUUUAACCUAUAAAAGCAAUAAUUACACAAUUGUGAGUAAAAAUUUGUUCAUUUAAUCAAUAUUAAGCUUAUUUAGGCAUUCAAUAAGUGUGUAAAAAUACACUUACCAAUCAUCGAUUGAUGACUUUAGGAACGAUAUUGAUAUUGAGAGGUGAUAUAGUUAUCUAACUCGUGCAACAGUUGACAUAGAUUUUGAUAAGAGAUGAGAAGAUACUUAUAUAGAUGAUGUAAUCUUAAUUGAAUUUAUACGAAUUAAUGUGUUUAUAUAUUGCCGAAAUUUACAUAUAGAUAUAAUAAAUUUGUACAUGUACAUUGGAGUAAUUUUACGCGAGAGAUGUGCAUAAGGCUAUUUUAUGCGAGAGAUCACUAUUUAAAUUGGAUAAUUGGUGUUGAGACGUACGAAAAGAAAUUGCAAGUUAUUGAAUUUAGUAAACAUUAACUGACCUAAGUGAAAUCAAAUUUUCUAACCAUUUAAUCCCGUAAAUCGUUCAUAAAGUCUCCAAGCGUUGAUAAUAUUAGGAAUAGCUCAGUAUUAGUUCUUUGUUUUAAAUUGAAUCUUCAAAAUAUUAAUUGAUCACCACUUUAGUUUAAUUUGAAGCUAGAUUAACACAAAAAUUGACUGUAAAUAAUUAGUCUCCAAGGGAACAAUAAUUGAAUUAUAAUCCACUUUAUUAUUUAUGAUGAUAUUAUAAACUGGCGAUAGAAGCAAACAAAUAUCUUCAUCCAUGAAUUUGUUUUGAUCUUCUACAUGUGUAUCGUGGUUUCUUCAACUUAGAGUUCAAAGGCAUUUUUCCCAUUUGCGUCUACUUCAUUUCAUGGACAUUGCAAAUCUUAGCACCAACAUAUUUUCUUCUUGAUAUAUAUCAAAAUAUCUCGCCAAAAAUAUGUGAAGCACCAAAAUUGACUACUCGUUUAAAUAGAAGUGAGAAAGUCACAAUAAAAAUUAAAAGCCUCACUUCCUAUCAAAGCAAAAUUUCAUGUUGCAGCCCCUACGGGCAUGAUGCAGUAGUAAAGCAAGAGGAUUUUAUACGGAGUAUCGAAAGUUCGAAUCCUUACGGCAGCUGGAAAGCAACAUUUAUGUUGGAAAGCAAUUGUCUUGUGGAAGUAAAGUUAUGGUGCACUUUGUCACCCUUUCGGGUGACUUGUCCGGUCCAAGUGUGUAUAAGUUAUGAUCGCAAUCCAGAUUUACCUAGGUGGUGAAUUAUGGGAGAAGGCUGCCGCUCCUCAGAAUUAGUCAAGCGAAACUUGAAUAUCUAAGUUAUCCAAAAAAAAAUAAAAAAUAAAAGUGCGUAUUUCAUGCUGCAUAUAAAAAUAGUGAUCUACGUAAGUUUAAACUAUUGGUCUUAACAAAAUUAUCUAAAACCCUGAAGUCAGCGCCGCCAUCUUUGAACCAAAAUCUUGCCUAUGUAACAUUUUCACCCGUCCCCCCACUUGCUCAUAGCACCAAUCUUGUUAGCACCUGUUUAUCCCCAUUAAAUUAAAUUACAUUAUAUUUUAUUUUUUAUUUUUAUAUUUUCAAUCACACAAUCUUUCAUAAAAUAAUAUUACACUUAAAUCGAAAAUUUUUCUUUCUUUUUUAAUCACUUAUUUUUCUAAAAAAUAUUAUUCUCCUCCAUUUUCAUUUUCAGGUAAUGGGGAUCAAACAUGGGCUAAUUUGUCUCCAAAUUCAAUUCUUGUGUUACAUCAACAGGAGUAACUAUUUUUGCUUUUUGACGAGUUUUGAACCACCCAAAAGGCAAUAUCUUAUGUUUUGAAGAUAGUUCUAGAGUUGACUUACUAGAGUAUUUUUCAAGAAUACUGAAAAUUUUCAGAACUCAAACUGGAUGAGACAUGUCAAAUGUCUAUGACAACUGGGAAAGAUUGGUGGGAGCUGUGAUUCGGAGAGAGCAAAUAUGGCAAAUGUUUCAUGAUCGCAGUCCAAGCGUCAGUUCCGUUUCAUCAGAUUUCAGUUUGGAUUCUCAGAUCCUUGAUUUCCCUUUUGAUUUUUCGAGUGGUGCAGGUACGUCUCUGUAUCAGCCACAUGCAGUUGAAAACUCCCAAAAGGAAGAAAAAGCUGUUAAGCAGCUGGGGUCUUCGGUACUAGAGAUGAGGGUCAAAAGACAAGAUGCAAUUCAGUGGAUGUCUUAUGGAUUACUCCCAAAGAGUUUAAGAGAGGUAAUCAAGAAGUACGACAAAUACCUCCUGAUUCGUUAUCUUCCCAAGGACCUCAGUAAAGUUAUUAUGCGUCAUGUUUGCUUGGCCCUUCUUAAGAGAGUGAGUGCUUCUUCAUUCAGCUUUUAUGUUCUAGUUAUAUGUAUUACUACUGUUCUUUCAAGAGAAAAAUGAAAAAUGAGUUGAAAUAAGUCAGUUCAAA
rnacentral:lncRNA from 1 species